rnacentral:lncRNA from 1 species
GUUAAGCGUGAAUGGAUGGGAGAAAUAUUUGUAAGCCUGUUUUACAUUUAGAUCUGUUUUUGUUGUUGGAUGGAUGAAUGAUUUGUGGUAACGUUCUACAUCGAUAUAAAAUAAGAUUGUUUUUUUUAUCAUAUCUUAUUUAUUCUAAAAGUAAUUUAUUUAUGAGCAAUCAUUACAUCAGAGUUUGUAGUAGGGAAUAU